rnacentral:rRNA from 1 species
CGAGGGGCAUCACGAGGUAGCAAUACUUUGGUGGCGACCGGCGCACGGGUGCGUAACGCGUAUGUAACCUACCUAUAACAGGGGCAUAACACUGAGAAAUUGGUACUAAUUCCCCAUAAUAUUCGGAGAGGCAUCUCUCCGGGUUGAAAACUCCGGUGGUUAUAGAUGGACAUGCGUUGUAUUAGCUAGUUGGUGAGGUAACGGCUCACCAAGGCAACGAUACAUAGGGGGACUGAGAGGUUAACCCCCCACACUGGUACUGAGACACGGACCAGACUCCUACGGGAGGCAGCAGUGAGGAAUAUUGGUCAAUGGACGCAAGUCUGAACCAGCCAUGCCGCGUGCAGGAAGACGGCUCUAUGAGUUGUAAACUGCUUUUGUACGAGGGUAAACUCACCUACGUGUAGGUGACUGAAAGUAUCGUACGAAUAAGGAUCGGCUAACUCCGUGCCAGCAGCCGCGGUAAUACGGAGGAUUCAAGCGUUAUCCGGAUUUAUUGGGUUUAAAGGGUGCGUAGGCGGUUUGAUAAGUUAGAGGUGAAAUCCCGGGGCUUAACUCCGGAACUGCCUCUAAUACUGUUAGACUAGAGAGUAGUUGCGGUAGGCGGAAUGUAUGGUGUAGCGGUGAAAUGCUUAGAGAUCAUACAGAACACCGAUUGCGAAGGCAGCUUACCAAACUAUAUCUGACG